AGUCACGGUAUUGUUGCUGCAGCUGGUGUUGUGAAUCAGGCCGACAAAAAGCGCAUCUUACUAUCCGGCUAUUUCACUACACCAGGGUUGCAUCAUACC